UAAGUCUCAAUUUUCUCAGGAAUCUACUUC
rnacentral:piRNA from 1 species